UAUUUGAAGUUAUUAUUUCUCCGUAUACCGAGAGAAACUCAUAAUUAUAACUAGAGAUGGACCCGCGCGCCCGCGCGGGUGUUGGCUUUUGCAAGAAUGAUUUUGGUUUUCCAUGUAAAUAUUAUAUACUUUAGAUGUGUCACGAUGUUAGAGAAUUGUAUCGCGGUAUUAGUAUUUUUUUUAAUAACUUUUUUUUGUUUUCCAUUGUAAAUGUACAAUUUUUUGUUUACAAAAAGCUUCAUAGCACAUAUAUAAUAUUAAAAUGUUAAUAGUUUUUUAAAUAAUAAUAUGCUAUCAAUUUUAUUGAAUUUAUGUAAACAAAGUCUUUAUAUUUCAAAUUAAAUUAAUGUUUUUAUAGAAAGAAAGAAGAUUCAUAUUUUUUAACCAUUCAAUAAUUUAUUUCUUUAGAUCAUUUUUAUAAACAAAAUAUUAAUCAAAAUUUCAAUGAAAAUGUAAUUUAGAUUAUGAUUUGGGCUGUGAUGUUUUAAAUAUGGGUUGGGCCCAAAAAAAAAAACGUUUUUAUCAAAACAAACUCAUUAGGUAUAUGUUAAUUUUUUUUCCGGGAACAAACGAACAGUUUUCUUUGUCACCGACAAAAAUUGAUCAAAAAAUAUUUUUCGAUCUAAACAAACAUAAGAUCCAGACGACAUGUUCUUCUGAUUCCAAAUCAAACCUAAGAAUAUGAGUGCAGAUCGUAAGAGAAAAACGAACGGGAGACGCGUCAAGCUAAGAAACAUUUCAUAUAAGAGUAGUUUAUAAAAAUUCAUGUCUUAACACACGGGCUUCAUAGGAGAAUACGAACAGAGAAGAUGGAAGAGGAUUUAAGAUUAUCGGAGUGUACAUGGUAAGUAUUUUUUGUUAAUUAUUCAAUUAAUUAGAGAAUUUGGUAACUGUAUAUUAAUUUGGUGAUGAUGUUUCUUGUCAAAUUUCAUUUCAAUGUUUGCAAAUUGACCUCUUGGCGGGCCUUGAAGAAUCUGCCAUUGUUCAUUCAUGAGCAAUAUGAAGGUGUUUCUCAUUUUUGUUAAUUAUUUAUUUGGUUUGUAAGUGUGUAUAUUUAUUGGAAUUGGCAUAACAGCUUAUGUAUAAUUCCGUCAAACAUAGAAGAAGUUUAUUGGACCUAUAAUGGAGUUGAUAGAUCGGGUAGUUCUAUCAAAGGAGUCUAGUGAGGUUGCUUCUACAGAGAACCUUUUCUUUGGCAAGGCAGUGGAGAAGGAAGAAAGUGAUUUUCGUGAUCAGAGCCCAAGUAAGUUGAAAAGAAGUAAGGAGGGGCAGUUAUUAAUUUUUGUAUUUACAUAUUUAUCAAAGUUGCAGAGAUUACUAUAUUGUGUACUUUUCUAGUGUGUUGAGCGAUUGUUUUUUUUUUAUAAUGAACAGAUGUUGGUGAAAGAACGAUCAGAAGCUAUGAAGAAAGAAGUUUCUCUCCCACGUUCAGCAAGUGAAUCCAGACAACAACUCACGGAUCACUUGGAAUGGAAGUUGCAAGUCCGAGAAAAGGGAUGUUGUUAUAUAGACAGCAUUGUUUUACUAACGGCAUAAACAGGUAUUUUCGAAUAAACUUUUGGUUGAGUUAUCGUAGUGUACAAUAAGUUAUAGAGUGUUACAUGCUAAGUUUCUGGUUAGGUAAGUAUAGUAACGACAAUUUGACAUCAUAAGUCAUAAAAAAACAAAGUUUAUUGAACCAAAAUAGUUGUAAUAAGAUAAAUAAUAAAAACAAAAUGAAAUGCGGAAAUAACUGGGAAAUUCAAAACAAAAGCAUGAAAAAAACAAAACAAACAACUGGCCAUAUGUAAGGUAGUCCUCACAUAACUAAUCUUCCUUAAUCUUCUCCACCUUGAUGCUCUGAGCACGAAGCUUCUUAGAUGUAGAAUUCAUGUCACUAAGCUCAGCAUCUCCUUCCUUACGCUUGGAGAAAGGUGUUGAAACAUCUGAUGAACUCUCUUUGUUAUAAUCAAUCAAACGCACCUAAUAAUAAUAAAAAAUUAUUAGGAUACCAAGAUGCAUAUACAAAUAAUAGUUAGGAUGGGUAAUAACAAUCUCUAGACCUCGCCGGUUGAGAGUGUAGAUGAAUUGGUCUCAAUCAGAGAUACUGGUUCUGAAAGUGAUUCUAUUCUAUGAAUGUGAUCUCCAGACCAGACCUCAGAGACCUUAAAGGUAUCAGAACCGUUGGCUACAUUAUCAUUUGCAAUGGAAAUACCAAAACAAAAGGAUUUUCCAACACAGUUUUUGAUUGGAAUAGGCAGAAUAUUUGGGUCUUCGAUCUGUAAAUCUCAAAAUUACUAUCAAAAUUAUACUUAAAGUAAUAAAAUAAAUAUCUCCAAUAAACAUUUGUUACCUCAGCAUAUGACCCAUCCCAAAGUGUCUCAGCUUUUUCACCAAUAAUAGUUUUAGCUACAGUGUCAAGUAACAUUAACUGGCAUGACCCUGUGUCAUCUUUCACAAACAGAUGAAGCUUAUACCUGCAGGUUUAGAAAAUGUCAAACCAUUAUAUUGAAUGUUAGUAAUUUUCAAGUAAGUCACGGCUGAUAAACAAUGAGAAAAUAAUAUAAUAAUCUUGGGUGAUUACUUGGGUGAGACAUCAG